rnacentral:rRNA from 1 species
AGGACGAACGCUGGCGGCGUGCCUAACACAUGCAAGUCGAACGCGCUCCAUUCGGUAGCAAUACUGAUGAAGAGCGAGUGGCGAACGGGUGAGUAGCACGUGAGCAACCUGCCCCGAAGACUGGGACAACACCGGGAAACCGGUGCUAAUACCGGAUAUCCCUAUCGGACCGCAUGAUCUGAUAAGGAAAUGGAUUCCGCUUCGGGAGGGGCUCGCGGCCUAUCAGCUAGUUGGUGGGGUAACGGCCCACCAAGGCAUCGACGGGUAGCUGGUCUGAGAGGACGAUCAGCCACACUGGGACUGAGACACGGCCCAGACUCCUACGGGAGGCAGCAGUGGGGAAUCUUGCGCAAUGGGCGAAAGCCUGACGCAGCAACGCCGCGUGGAGGACGAAGGCUUUCUGAGUUGUAAACUCCUUUCAGCAGGGACGAUAGUGACGGUACCUGCAGAAGAAGCACCGGCCAACUACGCGCCAGCAGCCGCGGUAAC